rnacentral:misc_RNA from 1 species
AAAGUCGUAACAAGGUUUCCGUAGGUGAACCUGCGGAAGGAUCAUUACAGUAUGUUCAGAGGUGGCUUUGCUGCUGGCUCCUAUUCCGGAGCAUGUGCGCGCCCCUCACCUUCAUCCAUAUACACUUGUGCACCUCGGUCGAAGCCUCCCGUCUGGAGCCGCCUUGCGAUUUGCGAGGCUGAGGCCUUCGACCGCUUUACAUUACUACAGCCUGUUUAAACGCAUGUCUAAUGUCCUACGGGGCGAUAUUAAAUACAACUUUCAACAACGGAUCUCUUGGCUUUC